AUAUAGAAGGUUGUUGCUGGUUCCUUGUAUUAGGGGCAUGUGCACGCCUUUUAUCUCUUUAUCCACCUGUGCACCUUUUGUAGGACUUGGUCAGAGUGCUUGCAAGUUUCUUUAUGAGACAAGCUUCACUUGGAAUCUCAAGCAUCCUAUGAUUAUCAUUACACUCUUUAAAUGUAUGUUGGUUGGCUUAAUAUAAAAUACAACUUUCAACAAUGGAUCUCUUGGUUCUCGCAUCGAUGAAGAACGCAGCGAAAUGCGAUAAGUAAUGUGAAUUGCAGAUCUCAGUGAAUCAUCGAAUCUUUGAACGCAUCUUGCGCUCUUUGGUAUUCCAAAGGGCAUGCCUGUUUGAGUGUCAUUAAAUUCUCAAAGCAAGGUUCACUUGUGGACCUUUGCUUUGGACUUGAAGAUUGCUGGCUUUUAAUAGGUUAGCUUCUUUGAAAUACAUUAGUAAGGUGUAUCUUUCACUUGGUGUGAUAAGUUAUCUACGCCUGGGAGAUAGAUUCAAACUUGCUUAUAACCUUUACCAUUUGACCUUUGACCUCAAAUCAGGUAAGACUACCCGCUGAACUUAAGCAUAUC
rnacentral:rRNA from 1 species